AUUGAACGCUGGCGGCAGGCCUACCACAUGCAAGUCGAGCGGAGCGGCGGACGGGUGAGUAAUGCCUAGGAAUCUGCCUGGUAGUGGGGGAUAACGUCCGGAAACGGGCGCUAAUACCGCAUACUAUCAGAUGAGCCUAGGUCGGAUUAGCUAGUUGGUGGGGUAAAGGCCUACCAGGGCGACGAGACGUAACUGGUCUGAGCGGAUGAUCAGUCACACUGUAACUGAGACACGGUCCAGACUCCUACGGGAGGCAGCGGUGGGGAAUAUUGGAGAAUGGGCUAAAGCCUGAGCCAGCCAGGCCGGAUGUGUGAAGCAGGUCUGCGGAUUGAGAAGCACUUUAAGUUGGGAGACGUUACCAACAGAAUAAGCACCGGCGAACUUCGUGCCAGCAGCCGCGGUAAUAC
rnacentral:rRNA from 1 species